rnacentral:rRNA from 1 species
AGCGAACGCUGGCGGCAGGCUUAACACAUGCAAGUCGAACGGGCUUCUCGGAAGUCAGUGGCAGACGGGUGAGUAACACGUGGGAACGUGCCCUUCGGUUCGGAAUAACUCAGGGAAACUUGAGCUAAUACCGGAUACGCCCUUUUGGGGAAAGGUUUACUGCCGAAGGAUCGGCCCGCGUCUGAUUAGCUUGUUGGUGGGGUAACGGCCUACCAAGGCGACGAUCAGUAGCUGGUCUGAGAGGAUGAUCAGCCACACUGGGACUGAGACACGGCCCAGACUCCUACGGGAAGCAGCAGUGGGGAAUAUUGGACAAUGGGCGCAAGCCUGAUCCAGCCAUGCCGCGUGAGUGAUGAAGGCCUUAGGGUUGUAAAGCUCUUUUGUCCGGGACGAUAAUGACGGUACCGGAAGAAUAAGCCCCGGCUAACUUCGUG